UAGAUUUAGAUCACAACCAGACCACCCCAAAUGGAAACGCUGUUGUCUUUAAUGUUCAAAAGUGCUUCUCUUUGGGGUUAUCUUGUCUGU
rnacentral:pre_miRNA from 1 species